UGAGAACAUAUGGCGUUACAUAAAUUCUAAAGCCUCAUUGGAAAUAUAGAUUGGUAAGGGUACGCACGUAUUUAUUGGAUACACAGCGACACUUCAAAUCCUAGUUUUAGAUAUCAAAAUACUAGUGCAGAGGACAUAAAGUUUGAGACGACACAUACAUUCCUGACCAGGUGUUCUUCUAUAAAACCACCCACAAACACCGAAACAGAUCUGCAAUACAGACACAAAAAAGAAAGGGUAGAAAUAUUCCCUUCGUGUGGCGCUCACCAAGACCAGCAUGGGAAGGGCUGUGUGCUUGAUGGUUAGUCCGUUGCUGGUUCUUCUGAUCAUUUCUUCUAACUCCCUGUCCUGCGAAGCAACGAGUAGGCAUCCCUACUUUUAAUCGCACUUCGUUUUUAGACAUUUUCG
rnacentral:lncRNA from 1 species